GCGAUCCCAGAUUUUUUUUUCGAAGUGAACGAUCCCGGAUUUCCCAAGAGGCCAAGACCCCAGCGGCCUCCCAGACCCGCUGUCCCUCUCUCCCGCCGGCACGACAUGGCCUCACCGGCGCUCACCGACGAUCUCCUUUCGGACAUCUUCCUCCGUCUCCCGGAGCCGGCCGACCUCGUCCGCACCUCGGCCGCCUGCGUCCCCUUCCGCCGCCUGGUCACGGACCGCGCGUUCCUCCGCCGGUUCCGCGCGCUCCACCCCGCGCCGCUCCUCGGCUUCCUCGACCACAACGGCUUCCACCCGGCGCUCCCGCCCCACGCCUCCGCGCCCGCGGCUCGCGCCGUCUCCCUCGCCGCGGAUUUCUCCUUCUCGUUCCUCCCCUCCUCCUCGUCCUCCUCCGCGGGCCGCGGCUGGGUCGUCCGCGACGUCCGCGACGGCCGCGUCCUUCUCGACCGCGCCCCCGGGGACGGCGGCGGAGACGAGCCAUCGGUCUUCACGGAGAUAGCGGUGUGCGACCCCUUGCACCGGCGGUGCGUCCUGCUCCCCGCGAUCCCCGACGACCUGGCAGCCGCGGUCGACCUGCCGCUCCGCGUGGAGUUCGACCGCUGGUGCGAGCCCUUCCUCGCCCCCGGCGGCCGCGGGGACCCCGAGGACGAGACGUCGUUCGGGGUGAUCUGGAUGGCGCAGUGCAAAGCCAAGCUGGUCGCCUUCGCCUUCUCCUCCAGCUCCGGGCAGUGGCGAGCCGUCGCGUCGCUGGCCUGGCACGAUCUGAUGUUCGGCGUGGGCGUGUCCUCAAGGAGCCCUGCGUUCUCCGGGCGUCAAUACGCCCGCGGCUGCUUCUAUUGGGUGAUGGAUUGGAGGGACAAGUUGCUCGUGCUUGACACGAGGACGAUGGAGUUCUCCAUUGCUGACCUCCCAUCGGGCUGCCACAGGCGACAGAUCGCCAUUGUGGACGCAGGGGAAGGCAGGGUUGGCAUGUUUGCUCUCCGUGACCAAGUUGCAGACGGCGCAGUUAGUCUCUAUUAUACUGUAAGGCAAGACGAUGCCGAUGGUUCCAGCCAUUGGCAGAUGGAGAAGACAAUCCCAUUGGAUCCUGAGUUCCGGCAUUACAUCAGGGGUGCAAUGGAGAGGUACAUACUCCUGCUAAGGUUUCCUGAACAUCUGAGCUCAGCGGGAGUGCAUGUAAGCUCAUCAGCAGAGAUAGAAGAUUUGGAAUGUUUUUCGAUGGACGUCAGGACCUUUCAGCUUGAGAGGGUGUGUCAAUUGAAGCAUCACAUUCUACGUGCCUACAUAUAUACCAACUUUCCUCCGUUGCUGUCUCCACAGAGUAUUUAAAGUGGUUACUGGUCAAGACUUUGGUUUCAGUUUGUACAACUGACACCGGAGCUUUCUGGGGGGACAUGGUCAGAGCCACAUUUCUAGUUCUCAAGGCUCAGAACAGUUGGGGUGUGAGCUUGCUUUAUGAAUUGUUAGACGGUGUCCCGGAUUUCCAUAUUCUCAUGGCGUCGCCAUGUUGGUUUGGUCAGAGUGAUGAUGUAGUAAGAAACAUUCGACUGUAGUAUACCACAUUUGUACCAAUAUUAGUGCAGCUAGUAUUGUGCUUGUGUAUAAUUAAAUGCCACAAUCAGACUGUAUAAGCAUAUCUACGAUAUUUGUGUGCAGUAUGUAUCUGAAUUCCGAAAUGCCCGAACAAUUCAUCUGUAUUUGAUGAUACUAGUAUGUGGGUACUACUUAAGUAUACGGAUACAUCUUUGUUUA